rnacentral:rRNA from 1 species
GAGUUUGAUCGUGGCUCAGGAUGAACGCUGGCGGCGUGCCUAAUACAUGCAAGUCGAGCGAACAGACGAGGAGCUUGCUCCUCUGACGUUAGCGGCGGACGGGUGAGUAACACGUGGAUAACCUACCUAUAAGACUGGGAUAACUUCGGGAAACCGGAGCUAAUACCGAAUAAUAUAUUGAACCGCAUGGUUCAAUAGUGAAAAACGGUUUUGCUGUCACUUAUAGAUGGAUCCGCGCCGCAUUAGCUAGUUGGUAGGGUAACGGCUUACCAAGGCGACGAUGCGUAGCCGACCUGAGAGGGUGAUCGGCCACACUGGAACUGAGACACGGUCCAGACUCCUACGGGAGGCAGCAGUAGGGAAUCUUCCGCAAUGGGCGAAAGCCUGACGGAGCAACGCCGCGUGAGUGAUGAAGGUCUUCGGAUCGUAAAACUCUGUUAUUAGGGAAGAACAAAUGUGUAAGUAACUAUGCACGUCUUGACGGUACCUAAUCAGAAAGCCACGGCUAACUACGUGCCAGCA